rnacentral:rRNA from 1 species
UAGGGAAUCUUCCACAAUGGACGCAAGUCUGAUGGAGCAACGCCGCGUGAGUGAAGAAGGCUUUCGGGUCGUAAAACUCUGUUAUUGAAGAAGAACGUGCGUGACAGUAACUGGUCAUGCAGUGACGGUAUUCAAUCAGAAAGUCACGGCUAACUACGUGCCAGCAGCCGCGGUAAUACGUAGGUGGCAAGCGUUGUCCGGAUUUAUUGGGCGUAAAGCGAGUGCAGGCGGUCUUUUAAGUCUGAUGUGAAAGCCUUCGGCUUAACCGAAGAAGGGCAUCGGAAACUGGGAGACUUGAGUGCAGAAGAGGAGAGUGGAACUCCAUGUGUAGCGGUGAAAUGCGUAGAUAUAUGGAAGAACACCAGUGGCGAAGGCGGCUCUCUGGUCUGUAACUGACGCUGAGGCUCGAAAGCGUGGGUAGCAAACAGGAUUAGAUACCCUGGUAGUCCACGCCGUAAACGAUGAGUGCUAGUUGUUUG